ACUCCUGCGGGAGGCAGCAGUGGGGAAUAUUGCACAAUGGGCGCAAGCCUGAUGCAGCCAUGCCGCGUGUAUGAAGAAGGCCUUCGGGUUGUAAAGUACUUUCAGCGGGGAGGAAGGCAAUACGGUUAAUAACCGUGUUGAUUGACGUUACCCGCAGAAGAAGCACCGGCUAACUCCGUGCCAGCAGCCGCGGUAAUACGGAGGGUGCAAGCGUUAAUCGGAAUUACUGGGCGUAAAGCGCACGCAGGCGGUCUGUCAAGUCGGAUGUGAAAUCCCCGGGCUCAACCUGGGAACUGCAUUUCGAAACUGGCAGGCUUGAGUCUUGUAGAGGGGGGUAGAAUUCCAGGUGUAGCGGUGAAAUGCGUAGAGAUCUGGAGGAAUACCGGUGGCGAAGGCGGCCCCCUGGACAAAGACUGACGCUCAGGUGCGAAAGCGUGGGGAGCAAACAGGAUUAGAAACCCCAGUAGUCCCAUG
rnacentral:rRNA from 1 species